UUCAUAAAAAUGUUAGAAUAUGGAUCAAAUGUGAUAUGCAUUGUAAUUAUUUGUUUUGGGGUUAAUGUGAUAGCAGGUUAGUGGAAGGGUGCUAAUGUAAGAUGCAUGAGUGUAUGGGUGGAUGUGUGUGUAGGGGAUAGUUUUCCCCAUUCUUAUAUCUCAACACAGGACACACACACACCUCAAACUCUCGUUCUCCCCACUCUCUCCCGAAACCCUCUCUUCGGCUCUCUCUCCCUCUCUUUUGCUCUCAACCAAAAACCCAUCAAAACAACAUGAAACCUACACAAACCCAUCUCCAUUUUAACUUCUAUAUGCAUUAUUGAGCCUUAAUUUCGUGGGUCAAGCUCGGGGAAGGAGGAACCGGCUGAUUUUGAAGUUUUGGAGGUUAGGGCUUUGUUUGAUCUCAUGAGUUCGGCUUUGAUACUUGAGGUACAAAUCAGAGGCUGUGACAUGGGUUGCUGUGCUUGCAUGUGAUCCUACAUUUUGAAAGCGACUUCAGAGAGUUAACUUUGCAUCUCUUAUAAACUUUAUCUCCGGAUGAAGAAAUUGUAAUCUUAUUAUUAUUAUUAUUAUUAAAAUUUUAUUUUUUUGUUAAAUGAAGGAUCCCUAUAAACUCUUAACUUUCUUUUAACGUGAUCUAGUGGUUUUAGGCCGUUGGGCCAAAGAUGUAAAUUUGGAAAUGCUUUGGAGUUUGGAGAUGAUUUGCGAACAAGGGGAUUAGAA